AUAUUCUGAGUGCUCUUAAAGAAAAUAUAGCCUAAAAAUGUAUGCUGGACUAUUUUGACAGGAAUAUGGAUAUUAUAGUAGGGAUUCCAUACACUUGAGCAAUAAACAAGGAACAAUAGCGUAUCUCCAAUCAAUCAACUACUCAUAUUCUUACAAUUUCUGGCAACUGGAACCCACCUUUCAUGUAUUGGAGACUUUGGUGGAGUACAUGUUUCGACUGUGUCUCGCAUAAUUGUUCGAGUUGGAAGAUCUCUAGCUAGAUUAUACCCUAGGUUUAUUAAAAUCCCUGAACUUCCUCAUGAAAUCAAUGAAUACCAUCUAAAGUUUUUUGAGAAAGCAAGAUUUCCCAGAGUUAUUGGAGCUAUUGAUUGCACACAUGUUCGAAUUCAGUUUCCUGGAGGAGCUGAUGGAGAAAUAUUUCGAAAUCGAAAAAGUUUGUUUUCAAUUAAUGUUCAAGCUAUAGGAGAUGCAGAUCUUAGAUUAUUAAAUGUGAUUGCCAGAUGGUCAGGAUGAUUACAUGACGCCACAAUCUUUAAUAAUAGCAGGAUUAAACAAGAUUUUGAAGAAAACAAAUUUGCAAAUUCUAUUUUAUUAGGUGAUGGGGGUUAUAAUAUAAGAUCUUAUUUGCUAACCCCGGUACAAGAAUCUGCAACUAGACAGGAACAACUAUAUAAUGAAUCUCACAUCCGAACAAAGAACACUAUUGAAAGGGUCUUUGGAGCUUGGAAACGUAGAUUUCCAGUGCUAGCAUAUGGUUGUCGUUUAAAGUUGGAUACAAUAUUGACAGUCAUAAUUGCCUCAGCAGUAGUUUAUAAUAUUUGCAAAGAACAGAAUGAGGCAGAACCUCCCAACCUAGAAGAUAUCAAAAGAUUUUUGCUGGUAAUGAAGGAGGGUUCUAGAAAUUCCACCCGUAAUCCAAGAUGAUCCUAAUGGUGGAAAUCAAGUCGGGAGAAGCUUGAUUGAAAACUAUUUUAGAUAUAUUGAAAAAUAAAGUUUAUAAAGUUGUUAUACUAUUUUCCAAAAUAAA